ensembl:lncRNA
GACGUUCUGAGUUGUUUAAACCCAUCAGAAAAGGCAACAACAUCAAAGCCUCUUGACUUUAAUCUUGAAGCCACACCAGCUGGACGUGUACUCGGCAUUCAAUGGUCAACAAAGGAUGACACAUUCAGUUUCAGCAUCGACCUUAAGGAUCAACCAUUGACUCGCCGUGGUAUUCUGUCUGUUAUAGCCUCUCUAUAUGACCCUCUUGGGUUUGUCGCCCCAUUUAUUCUACAGGGAAAGUGUAUCCUACAAGAACUGUGUCGUAGAGGUACUGAAUGGGACAACGAACUUCCUGAUGACUUGCGUCCUCAAUGGGUGGAUUGGAAAAACGAUCUUCUGAAACUCAAGGAAGUAUUGAUACCAAGAUGUUAUCACCCACAUACCUUCAGUGACAUAGUCAGAACAGAGUUACACCACUUCUCUGAUGCGAGUAAUGUAGGAUAUGGUGCUUGUUCCUACCUCCGCUUCAAAAAUGACAAGAGUGAAGUCCACUGCAGUCUGGUGAUGGCUAAAGCCAGGGUCUCACCUACAAAGGUCAUAAGCAUUCCCAGGUUAGAACUCUCAGCCGCUGUCAUAUCUGCCAGAAUGAGUGUCAUGCUGAAAAAUGAGCUGGAAAUGAAGAUUGACCAAGAGUUCUUCUGGACAGACUCGCAGGUCGUUUUAGCAUACAUUAACAACGAAGCCCGUAGGUUUCAUGUUUUUGUCGCAAAUCGAGUGCAGCUGAUACGAGAUGUCACAGAUCCUAGUCAGUGGUGUUACGUAAAUACAACAGAUAACCCUGCUGAUUAUGCAUCUAGAGGGCUUAAUGCGUCUGCCAUCUCUACAUCAAUGUGGUUAUCAGGACCCAAAUUCCUGUGGGAACAGGAAGUAAAUGCAACACCAUACACACCUGUGAACCUGCUUGUCGGUGAUCCUGAAGUUAAAUUAGUCGGAACCUUUGUGACCUCAGUCAGAGACGGAGCAGACAUCCUCAAUCGCUUAAGUCGAUUCUCUUCUUGGUCUAUGCUUCUAAGGGUGGUUGCAAGAAUAAACAGAUUGGGCCACAAACAGAUGUACAACGGUGAUCAUGUGGCAGUUGAAGAACGUGAGAGAGCUGCUAAGGUGGUCAUCAAGCUUGUACAGCAGCAAGCAUUCUCAAAAGAAAUGCAAAUAAUUGAAAGAGGAGAAGCUCUACCAAAUUCAAGCGCACUGUACCCUCUGGAUCCUAUUUUGGACAAUGGCAUCCUCCGUGUUGGUGGGAGGCUAAAACACUCAUCUCUCAGUCAAGAUCUAAAACAUCCUGUAAUACUUCCAAAAGGUAACCACAUCACUAAACUAAUUCUGUCACAUUUCCACACCAAAGUUCGUCACCAGGGAAGAAGCCAAACUCAAAUGGAGUUAAGAAUGAAUGGAUUCUGGAUCAUUGGAGGCAGUAAGUCCGUCGCCAAGUUCAUACACAAGUGUGUGCAAUGUCGGAAACUCAGACGACCAGCUGAAGAACAGCGUAUGGCAGAACUUCCCAGAGAACGUGUUGAGGUUUCCGCUCCAUUCACGUACUGUGGUAUGGACUGUUUCGGGCCAUUUAUUGUGAAGAGAGCUCGUAAGGAGCUUAAGAGAUAUGGCCUAUUAUUCACUUGUCUAUCAUCUCGUGCAGUCCAUAUUGAAAUGAUUGAGGACCUAUCUACAGACUCCUUUAUCAAUGCCCUAAGGUGCUUUAUCAGCCUCAGAGGAGCAGUUCGCAAACUUCAGUGUGACCACGGCACUAACUUUGUUGGAGCUAAAAAUGAAUUCGCAAAAUCACUGAAAGAGAUUGACACCAAUGCCUUAGAGAUCUUUCUUACAGAAAGGCAAUGCGAGUUUGUCUUUAAUGCUCCUUCUGCAAGCCAUGCUGGAGGUGUCUGGGAGCGCCAGAUACGAACUGUGCGAAAUGUACUCAAUGCCACACUUGCUUUAUGCCCAGGCAGGCUUGAUGACGCAUCACUCAGAACGCUGUUCUAUGAAGCAAUGGCCAUUGUAAACAGCCGCCCUCUAACGGUAGAUGGGAUUAAUGAUCCAAAUUCACUCGAACCAUUGACCCCAAACCAUCUGAUAAUGAUGAAGUCUGAUGUUGCUCUUCCACCUCCAGGAAAGUUUGUAAAACAAGAUGUGUAUGCCACUAAAAGAUGGCGCAGAGUUCAAUACCUAAUCGAACAAUUUUGGAGUCGUUGGAAGAAGGAAUACCUUCUCAACAUUGCAGCACGUCAGAAAUGGCAUAUUCCUCGCCGUAACCUUCAAGUGAAUGAUGUUGUAAUCAUCAAAGACGAUAUGCUUCCCAGAGGUCAGUGGCAAUUAGGCCGAGUGGUGGAAACCAGUGAAGGAAGUGAUGGUCUUGUAAGGCGAGUCAAGUUGCAGUUAGGGGAGCGAAAACAAAAUCAACGCUCCAAGCCUACAGUCAUUGAAAGGCCCAUCCAAAAAUUGGUGGUACUUAUUGAAAAUGAGUAAUCAGCGACUGCUUUGUGAUACCAUUGCAUCAGACCAUGUAAUUAAGUUCUAUAAAACCUAACAUUUUAGACUUCACAUGCAUAUAAACUGUUUGAAGGCGGUCAUAUUGAUGUUCAGAAAUCAUGUUCUGAUUCAUUCACAGUUUGUUCUGUUCUUUCAUCAUCUCAUAAUUGGUGGGA